rnacentral:rRNA from 1 species
AAUGAACGCUGGCGGUGGGCCUAACACAUGCAAGUCGAACGGAUCCUUCGGGAUUAGUGGCGGACGGGUGAGUAACGCGUGGGAACGUGCCCUUUGGUUCGGAAUAGCCUCGGGAAACUGGGAGUAAUACCGGAUAAGCCCUUCGGGGGAAAGAUUUAUCGCCAAAGGAUCGGCCCGCGUUGGAUUAGGUAGUUGGUGGGGUAAUGGCCUACCAAGCCGACGAUCCAUAGCUGGUUUGAGAGGAUGAUCAGCCACACUGGGACUGAGACACGGCCCAGACUCCUACGGGAGGCAGCAGUGGGGAAUCUUAGACAAUGGGGGAAACCCUGAUCUAGCCAUGCCGCGUGAUCGAUGAAGGCCUUAGGGUUGUAAAGAUCUUUCAGUUGGGAAGAUAAUGACGGUACCAACAGAAGAAGCCCCGGCUAACUCCGUGCCAGCCGCCGCAGUAAAAC